rnacentral:rRNA from 1 species
CCACAGACCGAUAGCGAACAANGUANNCNCGUGAGGGAAAGUUNGAAAAGAACUUUGAAGAGAGAGUUCAAGAGUACGUGAANNACCGUNCGGGGAGUAAACGGGUGGUACCCGAAAUUUCGAAAGGGGAGAUUCAAGUCUCGCCGGCGUCGGGCGGUGGCCGCGACCAGGGAUGGUGUCUCCGCGGUCGGGGGGUAACCCUCGGCCCGUNGGGCCCACCCCCGGGAUCCCCGGCCGGGUGCCCGACGG